rnacentral:rRNA from 1 species
UACGGAGGGGGGCUAGCGUUGUUCGGAAUUACUGGGCGUAAAGCGCGCGCAGGCGGCUCUUCAAGUCAGGGGUGAAAGCCCAGAGCUCAACUCUGGAACUGCCUUUGAGACUGAAGAGCUUGAGUACGGGAGAGGUGAGUGGAAUUCCCAGUGUAGCGGUGAAAUGCGUAGAUAUCGGGAGGAACACCUGUGGCGAAAGCGGCUCACUGGACCACAACUGACGCUGAGGCGCGAAAGCUAGGGGAGCAAACAGG